rnacentral:tRNA from 1 species
GCUUGCAUGGUGUAAUGGUCAGCACAUAAGAUUCUGAUUCUUGAGAGCGGUUCGAUUCCGCGUGCGAGCU